GCCAGGCGCGGUGGCUCACGCCUGUAAUCCCAGCACUUUGGGAGGCUGAGGUGGGUGGAUCACCUGUGGUCAGGAGUUCAAGACCAGCCUGACCAACAUGGCGAAACCCCAUCUCUA
rnacentral:SRP_RNA from 1 species